rnacentral:rRNA from 1 species
UACGGAGGGUGCAAGCGUUAUCCGGAUUUACUGGGUUUAAAGGGUGCGCAGGCGGAUAUGUAAGUCAGUGGUGAAAUCUCCGGGCUUAACCCGGAAACUGCCGUUGAUACUAUAUAUCUUGAAUGCUGUGGAGGUAAGCAGAAUAUGUCAUGUAGCGGUGAAAUGCUUAGAUAUGACAUAGAACACCAAUUGCGAAGGCAGCUUACUACAGGGACAUUGACACUGAGGCACGAAAGCGUGGGGAUCAAACAGG